rnacentral:rRNA from 2 species
UACGGAGGGUGCGAGCGUUGUCCGGAAUCACUGGGCGUAAAGGGCGCGUAGGCGGCGCGAGCAGUCGAUCGUGAAAGUCCGGAGCUCAACUCCGGAUCGGCGGUCGAUACUCUCGUGCUUGAGCACUGUAGAGGCAGAUGGAAUUCCGGGUGUAGCGGUGGAAUGCGUAGAGAUCCGGAAGAACACCGGUGGCGAAGGCGGUCUGCUGGGCAGUUGCUGACGCUGAUGCGCGACAGCGUGGGGAGCAAACAGG